UUUUUAAAAAGGAGUUCACAAAGAUACUACUGGCGACAGAGGUUAACAGCAUACAUGGAGAUCAAAACUCAAGUUCUACUUGUGGUUAUUCCACUCAUACAACUAUGCUAUAGCACACCGAUCCCUUCCAAUGGUGCCACUACUACCGCAUGUUCAGCUCCCAGAGCUGUCUAUUUCUAUGCUUCAAAACCAUCUUCAAUUAGUGGCAACGUCGACCCCAUCCCUUUCUCGGCUGUCACUCUGAAUGAAGGAGAUGCAUUCAACGGCUUCACUGGUAUCUUCACCGCCCCAGUUCAUGGAAUCUACCAGUUUUUCUUCACAACCCAGAGCGGCAGAAAUAACGGCAACAAUGUCUGGUGGCUGAAUGUCAAUCAAGUGCCCAAAGUUUCAUGUGCUUCUCAAUUAAGCUCGGGGAACACUGUUGUUACCACAUGCACUUACAUGGGUGAGUUAGUAGAGAACGAUGAGGUCA